GGGCGAGUGGCGAAACGGCAGACGCACUANNUGGAGGUUCGACUCCUCUCUCGCCCACCA
rnacentral:tRNA from 1 species